rnacentral:circRNA from 1 species
UAAUCCUGUGGAUUUGAGUAACCCAGCUAUUAUAAGCUCUACUCCCAAAUUUCAGGAACAGUUCUUGAAUGUGAGCGGAAUGCCGCAAGAAUUGAAUCAGUAUCCCUGCCUUAAACAUCUGCCUCAAAUAUUUUUUCGUGCCAUGCGUGGAAUCAGCUGUCUGGUGGAUGCAUUCUUAGGUAUUUCUAGACCCCGAUCAGACAGUGCUCCCCCAACACCCGUGAAUAGAUUAAGUAUGCCUCAAAGUGCUGCUGUCAGUACCACCCCCCCACAUAACCGGAGGCACCGGGCUGUUACUGUGAAUAAGGCCACCAUGAAGACAAGCACAGUUAGUACUGCUCAUGCCUCUAAAGUUCAGCACCAGACGUCCUCCACCUCUCCUCUGUCAAGUCCAAAUCAGACUAGUUCAGAACCCCGGCCACUGCCUGCCCCUCGGAGACCAAAGGUUAACAGCAUCUUGAAUCUCUUUGGAUCAUGGUUAUUUGAUGCAGCAUUUGUUCACUGUAAACUUCAUAAUGGGAUAAACAGAGACAGCAGCAUGACUGCCAUUACAACACAAGCUAGCAUGGAGUUUCGACGGAAAGGGUCACAAAUGUCCACAGACACCAUGGUUUCCAAUCCUAUGUUUGAUGCAAGUGAAUUUCCUGAUAACUAUGAAGCAGGAAGAGCUGAGGCUUGUGGGACACUGUGUAGGAUUUUUUGUAGCAAGAAGACUGGAGAAGAGAUUCUGCCAGCUUAUUUAUCCAG